CGGUUUAAAAACAUGGUCAGCGGAUCUCGUCCUCGUCUGCUGGAGUCGAGGCUCGACAAGAAAAGCAUCCAGUCUUCAACCUACCCAGUCUUCUUGACGGUCUCCUGUUGUCGUAAGAAUUAUUACGAAUUCGCAAAGACGCUACAAUGUACAAGAUCGCUAUCGCCGUUAUACUAUUCGUCUUCUCUGUCUCGCUGGAGGUGUCAGGUCAAAUAGAUACACGUGACGUGAUGUCGGCUUUGAAGGACCCUGUGGUCCAGAGGGCGCUAAGCGCAAUCAAUACAGAGUUGCUGCGCAGUGAAAGAUUCUUGACAGAUCUCGCUGGUUGUGCAGGAUCUGCAGCAACGAAGUAUGUAGAAGAAUCUGGGAGAACUGCUCCCCCCAGUUCUACAGGAAAGGCUGCCCCCAGUCCAUUUGCACAAGCCGCCAUCAACGGUUCUGUCUGCAUGAUGAAAGCCGUCGGAAAAAAGGUUUUUGGGUCUACCAAGAACAUGUUGAACACGUUAGGAAAGUAGGGACCACGUGACCCAACAUGCCAGAGCUGCAAAGAGACUUCGCUUCAGCCUGGGCUUCCUGUGCCAGCCUCUUUGAGCCUCGGUUUGGCUGAAUCAUCGCCGACAGCAACGUUUGACUGAACAUUAAAAAGAGUUGAUGUCGGUCGCUGCAGAUGUUGUAUAAUUCGCACAAUAAAUGAUUGCUUUCAAUCUACA
rnacentral:lncRNA from 1 species